AACGAACGCUGGCGGCAGGCUUAACACAUGCAAGUCGAGCGCCCCGCAAGGGGAGCGGCAGACGGGUGAGCAACGCGUGGGAAUCUACCCAUCUCUACGGAAUAACGCAUGGAAACGUGUGCUAAUACCGUAUACGUCCUUCGGGAGAAAGAUUUAUCGGAGAUGGAUGAGCCCGCGUUGGAUUAGCUAGUUGGUGGGGUAGAGGCCUACCAAGGCGACGAUCCAUAGCUGGUCUGAGAGGAUGAUCAGCCACACUGGGACUGAGACACGGCCCAGACUCCUACGGGAGGCAGCAGUGGGGAAUAUUGGACAAUGGGCGCAAGCCCGAUCCAGCCAUGCCGCGUGAGUGAUGAAGGCCCUAGGGUUGUAAAGCUCUUUCACCGGUGAAGAUAAUGACGGUAACCGGAGAAGAAGCCCCGGCUAACUUCGUGCCAGCAGCCGCGGUAACAC
rnacentral:rRNA from 1 species